GACGAACGCUGGCGGCGUGCUUAACACAUGCAAGUCGAACGAUGAAGCUGGAGCUUGCUCUGGUGGAUUAGUGGCGAACGGGUGAGUAACACGUGAGUAACCUGCCCUGGACUCUGGGAUAACCCCGAGAAAUCGGAGCUAAUACCGGAUAGGACCUCGGAUCGCAUGAUCUGGGGUGGAAAGUUUUUCGGUCUGAGAUGGACUCGCGGCCUAUCAGCUUGUUGGUGAGGUAAUGGCUCACCAAGGCGUCGACGGGUAGCCGGCCUGAGAGGGUGACCGGCCACACUAGGACUGAGACACGGCCCAGACUCCUACGGGAGGCAGCAGUGGGGAAUAUUGCACAAUGGGCGCAAGCCUGAUGCAGCAACGCCGCGUGCGGGAUGACGGCCUUCGGGUUGUAAACCGCUUUUAGUAAGGAAGAAGCCGCAAGGUGACGGUACUUGCAGGAAAAGGACCGGCUAACUACGUGCCAGCCGCCGCAGUAACAC
rnacentral:rRNA from 1 species